UAGGAAGGCAGCAGUGGGGAAUAUUGCACAAUGGGCGAAAGCCUGAUGCAGCUAUGCCGCGUGUAUGAAGAAGGCCUUAGGGUUGUAAAGUACUUUCAUCGGGGAGGAAAAACAAAACUAAUAAUUUUAUUUCUUGACGUUACCCGAAAAAGAAGCACCGGCUAACUCCGUGCCAGCAGCCGCGGUAAUACGGAGGGUGCUAGCGUUAAUCAGAAUUACUGGGCGUAAAGAGCACGUAGGUGGUUUUUUUAAGUCAGAUGUGAAAUCCCUGGGCUUAACCUAGGAACUGCAUUUUGAAACUGAAAUACUAGAGUAUCGUAGAGGGAGGUAGAAUUCUAGGUGUAGCGGUGAAAUGCGUAGAUAUCUGGAGGAAUACCUGUGGCGAAAGCGGCCUCCUAAACGAAUACUGACACUGAGGGUGCGAAAGCGUGGGGAGCAAACAGGGAUUAGAUACC
rnacentral:rRNA from 1 species